rnacentral:lncRNA from 1 species
UUAUCCUUUCUAGGUUAUAAAGGAGCACAUUUGUUUGUGAGGAUAAAGAGGUACAUAGGGAAUAAAGGAGUACUCAGAAACAGCACCUCACAGACCCAAGUACCAACCCCGAGAUGGAGCUCAGGACUCAGGGAGAAGCCUCUUGGCGGUUCUCUUCCGUCUGUGAUAUCAGUUACUUUUCCGCUUGCCGUACCUGCAUACCUGAAGUGACCAACGUAAAGGAUGCUGCUGAUAAGGGAAGGAGCCCAUCACUAAUUAUCAAGGAGACUCAGAUUGAUGGAGUGAGCUUGCCACAGAACCUUCCAAGGGAUUAAUUGG